AAAAAGUUUUAUUUUAGUUUAAAGAAUUUAAUUUAAUUUUGAUUUACAUGUAAAUUUUUGUAGAAUUAAGAUCAAAUUUUAAUAAUUUGGUUUAUAUAAUAAAAUCGCAGUAGAUAAUUUUAUAAAUUUAUGAAAAUAAGAUUUAGUAAUGAUUAGUAGUAUUAACAAAUUUUGUGCCAGCAGUUGCGGUUAUACAAAAAAUGCAAUUAAAUUUUUAUAUAAAAUUAAUAUUUAUGAAUAAUUAAAUUUUAAAGGAAUUUUUAUAAGGUGAAAUUUUAAAGUUUUAUACAAAUUUGUUAUUGGUUAAUAUUUAAGAAAUUUUUAGAUAAACUAGGAUUAGAUACCCUAUUAUUAAAAAUGUAAAAAAAUUAUUAAAUUAGUAAUAGUUAUGAGCUUGAAAAUUAAAAAUUUUGGCGGUUUUUUAGUCUAUUCAGAGGAACCUGUUUUGUAAACGAUAGUCCACGAUUCAAGGAACUUUAAUUAUUAGCUUGUAUAUCGUCGUAGUUUGAAUAUUUUAUAAGAAGGUUAAUAUUCAAAAUAUAUUAAUAUAGUAAAUCAGAUCAAGGUAUAGUUUAUAUUAAAGUAGAAAUGGGUUACAGUAAUUUUAAUUGGGGGAAUUAAAUUUAGAAAAAAUUUAUGAAUUUGGAUUUGAUAGUAAUUUUAUUUAGAUAAUUAAAAUGAUUUUAGCUCUAAAAUAUGCACAUAUUGCCCGUCGCUUUCAUUUUAAGGUGAAAUAAGUCGUAACAGAGUAGGCUUACUGGAAAGUGUGUCUAGAUAGCA
rnacentral:ncRNA from 1 species